rnacentral:lncRNA from 1 species
AUAUAGCCUUUGAAUUCAUUUUUCUUCUUUUCACCAGACAUUGGUGUGCAAGUGGCAAAAAGAGUCCUGUCCCAGCACUGCAAGGGGAAGAUAAAGGCUCGUCAUCUGUGCGUGCGUCCAUCUGAGUGGAACGUGUGUCCCGGGGGCUGCUGCCACCGCGCCGGUCCCUCCUGUAAUCCGAGCCCGUGUCAGAGGACGCGGCGCCUGCAAGGAAGAAGGGUUGCCGCAGGUGUGGCCAGAUCCUCUAGGCAAGAGGUGUGGAUUCAGGUCCUACUAGUCUUACUCCUGAUGAAGCUGGGCAAAUCAGUUGGCUCUGGAGUAAUUAGUAGCCCCUUCCUCACUGACCAUUGCAA